rnacentral:misc_RNA from 1 species
UAUAAUGUGGACGCUUUCCCUAUCACUGUGAUGUUUGGCAUGUGCGCCAUUUUCCUCUUUGUGGCAUCGAUUUUACAGAGGCGGCUUCAGGCAAUUGCUGAGAAACCAAAGAGUGGAGACUGGGGAUUGAGCGAAAAGAACUCCGAGGCAGAUCCGUUAAACAUCUAAGCAAUGUAGAGGACGGACGGACCACGGGUACUUAUUGGGAGGUUAGAACAUGAACCCUUGAUUCAUCUUGUAUACAGCAGCAGCUUCUUGAGUAGCUGAUAUAAUAUUUUGAAGAAUGAAAUUGUACACGAAUAGUGG